AAUGUUUAUUAUAAUGCCUGGAAAAUAAUUGUAAACUCCAGUGUCACGUAUGUGUAUCUUCCAGAGGCGAAUGCGUAUCCAUUCUGAUUAUUUAGUUUUGCUUUGAAAAAUUUCCAUCGUUCACUCACUGCAACAUGAUGAUAGUGUUCUGAAAUUCACGUAGCAGUACUAAAACUUAAAGGAUGGCAACAUUUCGAGGCAGUAUUAUUUUUUCCUUCAUUAUUUGCAUGUCACCUUCAAAUAUUGUAAAUAUGUUAACACAUGUUUUUGGACUUUUGGUGAGCAAGUUAAGUCUUGGCCGCCAUGAUGAAUAAUUUUAACAAAGGUUUUCUUUAUUUACAAUGCAAAAUUGUCAUCCAACAUGGCACAAAUUGCAUUAUUCUCUCACUCUCAAGGGAAUGCUCGCACACCUCCAAUUGUUAAAAUAUCGUAUAUGUUUUUUUCAUUAUUUAUUUGCACAAUUUC